rnacentral:rRNA from 1 species
CAGCAGCCACGGGAAUACGAAGGGUGCAAGCGUUACUCGGAAUUACUGGGCGUAAAGCGUGCGUAGGUGGUGGUUUAAGUCCGUUGUGAAAGCCCUGGGCUCAACCUGGGAAUUGCAGUGGAUACUGGGUCACUAGAGUGUGGUAGAGGAUAGUGGAAUUUCCGGUGUAGCAGUGAAAUGCGUAGAGAUCGGAAGGAACAUCUGUGGCGAAGGCGACUAUCUGGGCCAACACUGACACUGAGGCACGAAAGCGUGGGGAGCAAACAGGAUUAGAGACCCGAGUAGUCCCUGUCUCUUAUAA